CGGAAUGCCUGAGGCAGCGUUAUGUAUAAAUCAAAGACACUUGCUCAGUUCAUGAUUCUGGUGGCCUCCACAUGAGGUCCUUGUGCUGGGUCACCUCUGGGGAAGAACAAAGACAGCGACAUGAAUCCACUCAUGGAACAGAGUUCUCAUCACAUAAACCCGUAUUAGGCUCCCUCACUCAACACUACUGCACAAAGAACCGCAUUUAGACCAUAGCUCCUAGGUACCAAGACACGUGUCCAGGCAGGCACGUGUGUCUGCCCGCAGUAUUUACAGCCUGGCUGGGAUGGAACGGAAGGAGGGAGGAGAAAGAAGGCAGAUUCCACCUGGGCACUGGAGAGAUGGUUCAGCACUUAAGAGCACUUACUACUCUUCCAAAGGACCUGAGUUUGGUUCCCAGCAUCAACAUGGUGGGCCACAGCCACCUGCUACUCCAUUUCCAGGGGGAUCCCAUGCCCUCUUCUGGUCUCUGAGGACACUGCCCACACAUGGCACAAAUUCGCAUGCAGACUCACACGUACACAUGCUUUUAAAAGAAAAUUGGGGGAGGGGUCUUGAACAUUUUUCAAGACAGGAUCUCACUAUGUAGCUCUGGCUGCCCUG
rnacentral:lncRNA from 1 species